CGUACAUUGAUUUGUCUAGAUCUGACGCCAAUCCUGCAGCUGAUGGUAGCAGCCACUCAGCCCAAGAGGUUGUUCCGAUCCAGCAGAUCCCAGUACUCCAAGGACUACCCGAGAAAAAAUCUUCCACGCUAAAGGCUACUUCUGCCGACGUUGUGCCGCCAGCUCCCGAGCAACAAAUAUUCGAAGAAGUGGCGGCGAAUACUUCUAGCAUCGUGUCUACUUCUGUAGCCCAUGAGACAAAGGUGGAAAUUGAAGCGGCGACAGUUUUGAAAGUGAUGGCCGCCGACGCAUCCUCCGAGCCAGGUCCAUCGACAAACCUUGUUGUGGUUCCGCACAACACAACUGAUUAUGAAGCUUGUGCAAAUCUACUGUUGGCUGGGGAAAUUCAUCUUGAAGAAAUCCAGUUGAUCGAUGACCCUCUAUUGCACGUGGAUGUGGUUGCUGGAAUGAUGGAGGUGCACCGUCCUAUCGGCGCUUACAUAGAGGAUGUCAUCAAGCACUCCCAUCGCAAGUCUCAGAUGCUUGAAGGCUAUGAGGAUACAGUACUCCGUGCUGAGGCCCUUGAGAAAGAACUUGCCAAGGAGAGGGAGUACUCCUUCUAACUGCUGAUGAAGUAUGAUGGAGCUGCCGCGGAAUCUUGUAACCACAUCCAACAACUUGAGGAAGAGAAAGACCAUCUCAGGUGGUGCAACAAAUUGUUGAACCAGCAAAUCGAAGUGCUCGAAAAGUCAAAUGAAGAUCUCCAAGGACAAGUCACAGAUUGGAACAACACGCAUUACUGUGUAGCCGAUCAGCAUGAUAUGCUUGUAUUAAAAUAUGAAAAUCUGGAACAUCACCUUGAGAAGGAGAAGAAGAUGUGUGGGGACGCAAGGUUGAUCUUGUCAAUGCCAUGAAGACCAUUCGAGAGCGCGAAGCUGAGCUGGAAGCUGCCAAUCUCGCUCUGAAGGAGAUAUUUGAAGCGGCUCAGCUAAUAGCGGACAUGGUGGAGCCUCUAGUUGGAGUUGUAGAGCCCCGUCCGCUAUCUGAAGUACUCAAGGACAUCCCACGGAAAUUCACCGGCUAUAUUCAGAAGAUCUAGCUUUGUCAACUGUUUCUAUCCUCAAGCCGAUCUGGAUCCUAUUGCGGAGGGUAUAGCACAGGACUGAUCUGAUGAUCUAUUUGAGGAGUACAUACAGGAGAUGAAUCCCAUUGUAGAAGAAGUAGCCAAUC